rnacentral:rRNA from 1 species
CAGCGCCCCAAGUGGCAGCCGCGUUUAUUGGGCCUAAAGCGUUCGUAGCCGGUUAGAUAAAUCUUUUGUGAAAUUGUCAAGCUCAACUUGACACCGUGCAGAAGAAACUGUUUAACUAGGAACCGGGAGGAGUCAGAAGUAUUCCGGGGGGAGCGGUAAAAUGCUAUAAUCCUCGGAAGACUACCUGUGGCGAAGGCGUCUGACCAGAACGGAUUCGACGGUGAGGAACGAAAGCUAGGGGAGCAAAACGGAUUAGAUACCCGAGUAGUCC